rnacentral:rRNA from 1 species
GACGAACGCUGGCGGCGUGCUUAACACAUGCAAGUCGAGCGGUAAGGCCCUUUCGGGGGUACACGAGCGGCGAACGGGUGAGUGACACGUGGGUGACCUGCCCUCAGCUCUGGGAUAAGCCUGGGAAACCGGGUCUAAUACUGGAUAUGACUCCAUGACGCAUGUUGUGGGGUGGAAAGCCUUGUGCGGCUGAGGAUGGGCCCGCGGCCUAUCAGCUUGUUGGUGGGGUGAUGGCCUACCAAGGCGACGACGGGUAGCCGGCCUGAGAGGGCGACCGGCCACACUGGGACUGAGACACGGCCCAGACUCCUACGGGAGGCAGCAGUGGGGGAAUCUUGCGCAAUGGGCGAAAAGCCUGACGCAGCGACGCCGCGUGAGGGAUGACGGCCUCGG